rnacentral:rRNA from 1 species
AGGGUUUGAUCAUGGCUCAGAACGAACGCUGGCGGCAGGCUUAACACAUGCAAGUCGAACGCACUCUUCGGAGUGAGUGGCAGACGGGUGAGUAACGCGUGGGAACCUACCCUUUUCUACGGAAUAACGCAGGGAAACUUGUGCUAAUACCGUAUACGCCCUUCGGGGGAAAAAUUUAUCGGGGAAGGAUGGGCCCGCGUUGGAUUAGCUAGUUGGUGGGGUAAUGGCCUACCAAGGCGACGAUCCAUAGCUGGUCUGAGAGGAUGAUCAGCCACAUUGGGACUGAGACACGGCCCAAACUCCUACGGGAGGCAGCAGUGGGGAAUAUUGGACAAUGGGCGCAAGCCUGAUCCAGCCAUGCCGCGUGAGUGAUGAAGGCCCUAGGGUUGUAAAGCUCUUUCAACGGUGAAGAUAAUGACGGUAACCGUAGAAGAAGCCCCGGCUAACUUCGUGCCAGCAGCCGCGGUAAUACGAAGGGGGCUAGCGUUGUUCGGAAUUACUGGGCGUAAAGCGCACGUAGGCGGAUAUUUAAGUCAGGGGUGAAAUCCCAGAGCUCAACUCUGGAACUGCCUUUGAUACUGGGUAUCUUGAGUAUGGAAGAGGUGAGUGGAAUUCCGAGUGUAGAGGUGAAAUUCGUAGAUAUUCGGAGGAACACCAGUGGCGAAGGCGGCUCACUGGUCCAUUACUGACGCUGAGGUGCGAAAGCGUGGGGAGCAAACAGGAUUAGAUACCCUGAUAGUCCACGCCGUAAACGAUGAAUGUUAGCCGUCGGGCAGUAUACUGUUCGGUGGCGCAGCUAACGCAUUAAACAUUCCGCCUGGGGAGUACGGUCGCAAGAUUAAAACUCAUAGGAAUUGACGGGGGCCCGCACAAGCGGUGGAGCAUGUGGUUUAAUUCGAAGCAACGCGCAGAAUCU